GACGAACGCUGGCGGCGUGCCUAAUACAUGCAAGUAGAACGCUGAAGAGAGGAGCUUGCUCUUCUUGGAUGAGUUGCGAACGGGUGAGUAACGCGUAGGUAACCUGCCUGGUAGCGGGGGAUAACUAUUGGAAACGAUAGCUAAUACCGCAUAAAAUGGAUUAUCGCAUGAUAAUUCAUUGAAAGGUGCAAAUGCAUCACUACCAGAUGGACCUGCGUUGUAUUAGCUAGUUGGUGGGGUAACGGCUCACCAAGGCGACGAUACAUAGCCGACCUGAGAGGGUGAUCGGCCACACUGGGACUGAGACACGGCCCAGACUCCUACGGGAGGCAGCAGUAGGGAAUCUUCGGCAAUGGACGGAAGUCUGACCGAGCAACGCCGCGUGAGUGAAGAAGGUUUUCGGAUCGUAAAGCUCUGUUGUAAGAGAAGAACGAGUGUGAGAGUGGAAAGUUCACACUGUGACGGUAUCUUACCAGAAAGGGACGGCUAACUACGUGCCAGCAGCCGCGGUAAUACGUAGGUCCCGAGCGUUGUCCGGAUUUAUUGGGCGUAAAGCGAGCGCAGGCGGUUAGAUAAGUCUGAAGUUAAAGGCUGUGGCUUAACCAUAGUACGCUUUGGAAACUGUUUAACUUGAGUGCAAGAGGGGAGAGUGGAAUUCCAUGUGUAGCGGUGAAAUGCGUAGAUAUAUGGAGGAACACCGGUGGCGAAAGCGGCUCUCUGGCUUGUAACUGACGCUGAGGCUCGAAAGCGUGGGGAGCAAACAGG
rnacentral:rRNA from 1 species